UAUAAAUCCUAAUAGAAACUAUCUAAGCGCUUCAUAAUUCUAAGACAUGUUGCGAAAAUUACUUCUAUCGGUUCUGUUUAUGGCUGCUGUAAUGUCUGUGGUACCUGCUUUUGAAGGUGUAAUCUUCUUACACGAAUAUUGCAACCACGACAGUGACUGUAAAUCGGGAGAGUUAUGCGGCAUUAGUUGCGUCAAUGGCUGUAAAAUUGAUUGUGUAGAUGCUGAUGACUACUUCAAUGGCGAAGCGGUGAAAUAAGAAAACUUUUCAGAAACAUCACAAUGGGCGGCAGCGAUCAAUCAGCGUCAAACAUCGUGAAAGAAUCAAUAUAGAGAUAAAGAACUUUAUUUUCGAUUUGUU